rnacentral:rRNA from 1 species
UACGUAGGGGGCAAGCGUUGUCCGGAUUCAUUGGGCGUAAAGAGCGUGUAGGCGGCCAGAUAGGUCAGCUGUGAAAACUCGAGGCUCAACCUCGAGACGUCGGUUGAAACCAUCUGGCUAGAGUCCGGAAGAGGAGUGUGGAAUUCCCGGUGUAGCGGUGAAAUGCGCAGAUAUCGGGAGGAACACCGGUGGCGAAGGCGGUUCUCUGGGCCUGUACUGACGCUGAGGAGCGAAAGCGUGGGGAGCGAACAGG